rnacentral:rRNA from 1 species
UACAGAGGGGGCGAGCGUUGUUCGGAAUUACUGGGCGUAAAGGGCGCGUAGGCGGCCCGCUAAGUCGAACGUGAAAUCCCCAGGCUCAACCUGGGAACUGCGUCCGAUACUGGCAGGCUUGAAUCCGGGAGAGGGAUGUGGAAUUCCAGGUGUAGCGGUGAAAUGCGUAGAUAUCUGGAGGAACACCGGUGGCGAAGGCGGCAUCCUGGACCAGAGCUGACACUGAGGCGCGAAAGCGUGGGGAGCAAACAGG